GACGAACGCUGGCGGCGUGCCUAAUGCAUGCAAGUCGCACGCGGCACCUUCGGGUGCUGAGUGGCGAACGGCUGAGGAACACGUGGGGACCUGUCCGGGAGUGGGGGACAACACCGCGAAAGCGGUGCUAAUCCCGCAUACGCUCUGAGGAGGAAAGCCGAAAGGCGCUCCCGGGUGGGCCUGCGGCCCAUCAGGUGGUUGGUGGGGGAACGGCCUACCAAGCCAAUGACGGGUCGCUGGUCUGUGAGGACGACCAGCCAGACUGGGACUGGGACACGGCCCAGACUCCUACGGGAGGCAGCAGCAAGGAAUUUUCGGCAAUGGGCGCAAGACUGACCGAGCAACGCCGCGUGCAGGAAGACGGCCUUCGGGUUGUAAACUGCUUUUGCUAGGGAGGAUAACAGACAGUACCUGGCGAAUCAGCCCCGGCUAACUCUGUG
rnacentral:rRNA from 1 species